GACGAACGCUGGCGGCGUGCUUAACACAUGCAAGUCGAACGGAAAGGCCCUGCUUUUGUGGGGUGCUCGAGUGGCGAACGGGUGAGUAACACGUGAGUAACCUGCCCUUGACUUUGGGAUAACUUCAGGAAACUGGGGCUAAUACCGGAUAGGAGCUCCAGCUGCAUGGUGGGGGUUGGAAAGUUUCGGCGGUUGGGGAUGGACUCGCGGCUUAUCAGCUUGUUGGUGGGGUAGUGGCUUACCAAGGCUUUGACGGGUAGCCGGCCUGAGAGGGUGACCGGCCACAUUGGGACUGAGAUACGGCCCAGGCUCCUACGGGAGGCAGCAGUGGGGAAUAUUGCACAAUGGGCGGAAGCCUGAUGCAGCAACGCCGCGUGCGGGAUGACGGCCUUCGGGUUGUAAACCGCUUUCGCCUGUGACGAAGCGUGAGUGACGGUAAUGGGUAAAGAAGCACCGGCUAACUACGUG
rnacentral:rRNA from 1 species